rnacentral:lncRNA from 1 species
CCAAUUAGAGGAUUCUGUAGUUAAGAACUUUACCACUUGAUCAUUCGGUUAAGGUAGACAGUUCUUUUGGCCAAAUCCACUUGCAUUCCAUCAUCCCUCUGGAAAUACUCUCUUGCAGCAUAUCUUAGUUCAGACUCCACACAUUGAGGUGCGAAGAAUUUUACUGCUGGACUUGAUCUUGUUGCAUUGCACAGUCCAAAAUGGAUUAACGGAUUAACUUUUGAAAAAGCUUUGAGGUGCGAAGAAUUUAACUGCUGGACUUGAUCUUGUUGCAUUGCACAGUCCAAAAUGGAUUAACGGAUUAACUUUUGAAAAAGCCAUCUGCAAAAUGAAAAUAUAUUAACACAGAAUAUGAAAGAGAAUGCUGAAUUCAAGUAAUAGGUGGCAGUCUUUCAUAAAAUGGUGUGAGCUCCAUUCUUAGUUUCUUACUUUCAGAAAAAGAAAAAACAAAACAUAUGGUAUUUGAGCAAAAUGCUGAAAUUUACUCCACGGUGUCUGUCACUCUUCGAGUGACUGAAGCAGUUGCAACAGUUCUUAGAGAAAAAUAAUAAACAGGGG